rnacentral:lncRNA from 1 species
CUUGAAGCUUCUUUGAUCUAUGAUCUGAAUGCGGCUUGAACUCGUCUUUGAACCGCCAAAAGGACUCAUGGCAUGAGCCAUGAUCUGAACUGAUUGCUUAGGGUGUUGACGCCAUGAUUUGAACUUUGCAACACCUCUUUCUUCUUGAUGCUUCACAUGAAGCUUACUGACCCUUAGCUAACAUCUUGCUGGUGAGUUGAUUCAUCACGUUCCUACAGCCACUUCUCCUCAAGAUCUUCUUGUCUUGGGUCCAUGAAUCUGAGGCCAUUGGUUCUAACCCCCAAAGCUUGCUUCUGAUGCUGCUCUAGAUCAACCAAACUUGUAUUGUCUUCUUGAGACAACCAAGCACAAACACCAAUCACCAUUCUUAAACUUAGAACCUGUUGAGUAUGGACAGAUUCAAAGCACAAAAUUAGUGAGUGAUGGAGAGAAUAAAGUAACCAGAGAAUAAGUAACCAAAGUAUGAGAGAAUAUUAGAGAAUAAUGGAGAGUAAGAGUAUGGUGGAGAGUUUUGCGGAAGCAGAUUUCAGUCCAUGGCCUGCAAGCUUCAUGGCUGAUCACACUUCUGGUGAGGCAUGAACAUCCCACCAGUUAACACAUUUUAAAAACAUUUUCGAAAUCAGAUUACUCAAGAAUCUGUUCAAAACAUUUUCAGAUUUUUUUAAAUCCUUUCAAAGAGCUUUUCUUUAAAUCUGAAAUACAAAUGCUCUUACAAAUCAAUUUUCUUCAAAUCAUCAUCAAUCUUUCUCCCUCCCUCAAGCAUUGGUUUCAUUAGACUUAAAGCCUUUUACCAAGUUUGAAAAUAUUAAGAGACAAAGGGUAGAAAAGGAUGAUAAUGUUUGAGACAAAACCAGUAAGAACUUCAUCUUUUAAAACUGUUUUUAAAGCACAAAACAGAUGAAGUCUUUUGUUUCAUUUCCCUCCCUUAGCCUUGGAUUAGGAUCCCAACUCAAGAUCAGAACCACAGCUUACACAUGGGAGAGAAGAAACCAAAACAGAACUCCAUCUUGUCUUCUUUAAAGAAAUCAUUAGACAAUAUGAAGAACACAAAAUAUUUUUGAAAUCGAUUUUUUUUUUUUUUUUUUUUUUUAAGAGUUCUUCAAGAUACAAGUUUAAUCUUUUCUCCCUCCCUCAAGCUGACAUGAACAGAUUUUAAUCUUUCAUUCAAAGGCUUAAGCAAUGAGGAGAUAAAGGGGAGAGUCAUUGAUUAAAAAAAAACUUUUAAAGACUUGCAUCUUAAAGAAACUCACAGAUUUUGAAUACAUACUUCAUCUACACUCUCUACUGUCCAAGUUUUGAAUCCCAGCCACACAGCUCAUCAAAAACGAAUUUAAAGGAGAAAGAGAGAGAGACUCAGAUGAAGAAAUUGACAAAAGAAGUGAGUUCAGCCCAAGAAGAGCAACAAAGCUCUGAUACCAUGUUGGAAAAGCUGAGAAUAGCUAAGAACAUGAACUCACUCUUUAAGAAUGGAAGAGACAAUCAACUUGUGAUUGAAUCCUCUCAGCAAAAUAAUCUACACAACCA